CCUACGGGAGGCAGCAGUGAGGAAUAUUGGUCAAUGGACGCAAGUCUGAACCAGCCAUGCCGCGUGCAGGAAGACGGCUCUAUGAGUUGUAAACUGCUUUUGUACGAGGGUAAACGCAGAUACGCGUAUCUGUCUGAAAGUAUCGUACGACUAAGGAUCGGCUAACUCCGUGCCAGCAGCCGCGGUAAUACGGAGGAUUCAAGCGUUAUCCGGAUUUAUUGGGUUUAAAGGGUGCGUAGGCGGUCGGAUAAGUUAGAGGUUAAAUCCCGAGGCUCAACUUCGGAAUUGCCUCUGAUACUGUUCGGCUAGAGAGUAGUUGCGGUAGGCGGAAUGUAUGGUGUAGCGGUGAAAUGCUUAGAGAUCAUACAGAACACCGAUUGCGAAGGCAGCUUACCAAGCUACUUCUGACGUUGAGGCACGAAAGCGUGGGGAGCAAACAGGAUUAGAUACCCGGGUAGUC
rnacentral:rRNA from 1 species